rnacentral:rRNA from 1 species
AGGCAAACCGGGAGAACUGAAACAUCUAAGUACCCCGAGGAAAAGAAAUCAACCGAGAUUUUGUCAGUAGCGGCGAGCGAAAGCGAAAGAGCCAGCAAGUGAUAGCAGCAAAGACAGAAGAAUUGGCUGGGAAGCCAAGCGACACAGGGUGAUAGCCCCGUAUUUUAAGUUUAUGUUGUGGUACUAAACUUGCAACAAGUAGGGCGGGACACGAGAAAUCCUGUUUGAAGAUGGGGGGACCAUCCUCCAAGGCUAAAUACUCCUGAUUGACCGAUAGUGAACCAGUACUGUGAAGGAAAGGCGAAAAGAACCCCAGUGAGGGGAGUGAAAUAGAACCUGAAACCGUGUACGUACAAGCAGUGGGAGCCC